AUGCACGCUGGCGGCGUGCCUAAUACCUGCAAGUCGAGCGAACAGACGAGGAGCUUGCUCCUCUGACGUUAGCGGCGGACGGGUGAGUAACACGUGGAUAACCUACCUAUAAGACUGGGAUAACUUCGGGAAACCGGGGCUAAUACCGGAUAAUAUAUUGAACCGCAUGGUUCAAUAGUGAAAGACGGUUUUGCUGUCACUUAUAGAUGGAUCCGCGCCGCAUUAGCUAGUUGGUAAGGUAAUGGCUUACCAAGGCAACGAUGCGUAGCCGACCUGAGAGGGUGAUCGGCCACACUGGAACUGAGACACGGUCCAGACUCCUACGGGAGGCAGCAGUAGGGAAUCUUCCGCAAUGGGCGAAAGCCUGACGGAGCAACGCCGCGUGAGUGAUGAAGGUCUUCGGAUCGUAAAACUCUGUUAUUAGGGAAGAACAAAUGUGUAAGUAACUAUGCACGUCUUGACGGUACCUAAUCAGAAAGCCACGGCUAACUACGUG
rnacentral:rRNA from 1 species